rnacentral:tRNA from 1 species
GCGCGAGUGGCGGAAUGGCAGACGCCCUGGAUUUAGGUUCCAGUGCCGCAAGGCGUGGGGGUUCAAGUCCCCCCUCGCGCACCA